rnacentral:piRNA from 1 species
UGGGUGGAACGAGGGCUCUCACAGUCGCCAA